CACUAGGUGAUGGACAGGUGUGAGGACUGAGGUCAGGUGUCCAGGUCUCACACUAGGUGAUGGACAGGUGUGAGGACUGAGGUCAGGUGUCCAGGUCUCACACUAGGUGAUGGACAGGUGUGAGGACUGAGGUCAGGUGUCCAGGUCUCACACUAGGUGAUGGACAGGUGUGAGGACUGAGGUCAGGUGUCCAGGUCUCACUGUAGGUGAUGGACAGGUGUGAGGACUGAGGUCAGGUGUCCAGGUCUCACACUAGGUGAUGGACAGGUGUGAGGACUGAGGUCAGGUGUCCAGGUCUCACUGUAGGUGAUGGACAGGUGUGAGGACUGAGGUCAGGUGUCCAGGUCUCACUGUAGGUGACGGGCAGGUGUGAGGACUGAGGUCAGGUGUCCAGGUCUCACUGUAGGUGAUGGACAGGUGUGAGGACUGAGGUCAGGUGUCCAGGUCUCACUGUAGGUGACGGGCAGGUGUGAGGACUGAGGUCAGGUGUCCAGGUCUCACACUAGGUGAUGGAGAGGUGUGAGGACUGAGGUCAGGUGUCCAGGUCUCACACUAGGUGAUGGACAGGUGUGAGGACUGAGGUCAGGUGUCCAG